ACGAGGAGUCGCCGUCGACGAUGAGUCCAAAUCUUUGGUCUCAGAAAUCAGAAUUUCUGAGCAGCAUAUAGUGGACUAGUGACUGGUGUGGUGAGUGCCUUUCUCAGUUUCUUUUACUCCCCUUCUCUCUUUUUUUGUUGUUUUUGUUUUUGUUCUAUAUGCUGACUUGUUGAAUGUUGAGUGUUGUUUGGUAUUUCUUUGAUUUGUGUUAUU
rnacentral:lncRNA from 1 species